GGCAGACGGGUGAGUAAUGGUAGGGAAUCUACCCCAAAGUGAAGGAUAGCUCGCCGAAAGGCGGGGUAAUCCUGCAUAUUACCGAAAGGUCAAAGAGCUUAACUGCUCGCUUUGGGAGGAGCCCUACUCCUAUCAGCUUGUUGGUAAGGUAAUGGCUUACCAAGGCUAUGACGGGUAGGGGGCGUGAGAGCGUGUCCCCCCACAAUGGCACUGCGAUACGGGCCAUACAUCUACGGAUGGCAGCAACCGGGAAUCGUCGGCAAUGGACGAAAGUCUGACCGCGCGACGCCGCGUGAAGGAUGAAGCCCCUCGGGGUGUAAACUUCUUUUAUUCUCCGAUAUAGGAGAUUGAAUAAGCAUCUACUAACUACGUGCCAGCAGUCGCGGUAAUACGUAGGAUGCAAGCGUUAUCCGGAUUUACUGGGCGUAAAGGGUCGCGUAGGCGGUUUACCGCAUCUUGCCUUAAAUGGCGAGGCUUAACCUCGUCCUGGUGCAAGAGAUGGGUAAACUAGAGGUUUGGCGGGGUUUCUGGAACUUCCGGUGUAGCAGUGAAAUGCGUUGAUAUCGGAAGGAACACCAAGAGCGUAGGCAGGAAACCAGCCAAAAUCUGACGCUGAGGCGCGAAAGCUAGGGUAGCGAAGCAGAUUAGAGACCUGCGUAGUCC
rnacentral:rRNA from 1 species